rnacentral:rRNA from 1 species
UGGGGAAUUUUGGACAAUGGGCGAAAGCCUGAUCCAGCAAUGCCGCGUGUGUGAAGAAGGCCUUCGGGUUGUAAAGCACUUUUGUCCGGAAAGAAAUCCUUGGCUCUAAUACAGUCGGGGGAUGACGGUACCGGAAGAAUAAGCACCGGCUAACUACGUGCCAGCAGCCGCGGUAAUACGUAGGGUGCAAGCGUUAAUCGGAAUUACUGGGCGUAAAGCGUGCGCAGGCGGUUUGCUAAGACCGAUGUGAAAUCCCCGGGCUCAACCUGGGAACUGCAUUGGUGACUGGCAGGCUAGAGUAUGGCAGAGGGGGGUAGAAUUCCACGUGUAGCAGUGAAAUGCGUAGAGAUGUGGAGGAAUACCGAUGGCGAAGGCAGCCCCCUGGGCCAAUACUGACGCUCAUGCACGAAAGCGUGGGGGAGCAAACAGGAUUAGAUACCCUGGUAGUCCACGCCCUAAACGAUGUCAACUAGUUGUUGGGGAUUCAUUUCCUUAGUAACGUAGCUAACGCGUGAAGUUGACCGCCUGGGGAGUACGGUCGC